UGUAUUCACACAUGGCUAAGUCGCUUUGGAUAAAAGCGCCUGCUAAAUGUAAUAUU
rfam:Salmo salar isolate Sally breed double haploid chromosome ssa17, whole genome shotgun sequence.